GUAAAAAUGUUUAAGUAAUUAUUGCAUGUUUAAAAAGGUCUGUACUAAAUAUUAUGAAUUAAAUAAAUGGUUUUAAAGCUGUAUCUCACCUUUAACGAAGGGGCUGUGCAUUUUCGAGCCAUCCACAAGCCUGUCCCGGAGACAAAAGGAUUCCUGAAAGACGUGUGCGGGAGUGUAGGUGUGUGUGUUUCAAAACAAAUAGGGGGUGGGGGUGUGUGUCUUUGCAUGGGUGGUUUUUGAAACCAGAAAAAGUGUGUGUGAGUUUGUUAAGGAUUGUGUGUGUGUGUCUCUUCAAUGGGGCUUGGGCACUUUGGAUUUUAUUACCACACAAGCCUUUCAAAUGCGUAUUUAUCUCACCCCCAAGGAUGUGGGGGCUAAAAAGUCAAACAGUCCAGGCAGAAUAUAUCUUGUCUAGACAACCUCCUACGGUUUAAAACAUAUGUUAUUUCUAAUCAGCGCAAAUACUAACGGUCCCCCCACCCCGGGAUAUACAUUUACACCCCCAAGCGGUGCUAUGAAGCAUAAACGCAAUACCGGCAGACAGAAUAUGUCGAGACACCCGCCUGUGGUUUUGGGGUCUCUAGACAUACGUGGGUACUUUAUAUGACCCUUUUAUGCAUACAGGAUGUCGCCCGAAAAAACGGCACCCCCGCUCCGUAAGCUCAUUACAGAAUAUUUCUCGUUAGAGACGACCUCGGAGCGAGGCUAGGGAAACAGAUACUGGCCAUUCUGUACGACAGACUAAAGCGCAACUCCAGACAUCUGACCAACAGCCCCGAAGAGUUAUCACCACCGGACAGCUAAAAGAUAAUCUGUGAAUCCAUCCUAAUGGAGCUUUCUCAAGGAUCUCAGUCCUUUACACAGCUGCUCCGGGAAUAGAUGAUUGGGAACAGCCUUCGUUAGAGGGGGUUUCAGUGGAGCAAAACGCGUGCAGCCAGUCCCCAUCACACUAUUGUCGACCUGACAGACCCCAAAGAAGGAUCACGGAUGCUUCAUGUACUCUGAACGAUGACAUAGAUGCUAUUCUCCCAUUCUGUACGAACGGCUUUACCCUAACUCCCCCGGGAACCAAGCUCCAUAUUUCAGACCCAAACAAGCAACGCACAACUUGUGCGCAAGUGCAUUGCGCAGAAUCACCCCGGCCCGAAAAGUUACUGCUUCAAGAAACGGCGCUACAUGGACAAGACUCCAACGAGAGAUGUCCGGCAGAAUCAGGAAGGCCUGGUGAAAAAAAGUCUAGAACCCACGGUUUCCGCGAUUCGUCAGAACAGCCCGCGUCAAAAAAGCAGAGACUCCUCCCCGGCGUAACGGCACAGAAGACCAUACACCCCGAGAGCACGCAGAGGGUUUCGGCGCGCCGGACAUUCCCAAUAAAACCGGAUGAUUUCACCGUUUUAAAUGACAUUCCCGAGGUAGACGACUUGCUCCUCUGUGAUGCUGCCAACCUUCUUGAUUCCUCCUAUUCUUAUGUAGAAACACCCAACCUGAAAUAGAACAAGCUAGGUUUAUUACUGCCUUUUCCAGGGCUCUAAAAUCCAGAAAUGUCUUGCUCCACAAAUGAAUGGUGGAUUUACUCGAGUGGCAAUACAGUCAGGAUCUUGUAACGGUUGUCGUCGGGAAUAGAGGACCAAAACGCAGCAGGAAUGUGGAUGCUCAUCUUGUAUUUAUUUUUAAAUAAAGAAAACACCAAAAACGAAGAGCUCACGAACAACAAAACAGUCUUGU